rnacentral:rRNA from 1 species
CCUACGGGUGGCAGCAGCAAGGAAUUUUCCGCAAUGGGCGCAAGCCUGACGGAGCAACGCCGCGUGCGGGAUGACGCCUUUCGGGGUGUAAACCGCUGUUCGUGGGGACGAAGCACUGACGGUACCCACGGAGGAAGGCCCGGCUAACUACGUGCCAGCAGCCGCGGUAAUACGUAGGGGCCGAGCGUUGUCCGGAGUUACUGGGCGUAAAGCGUGCGCAGGCGGCCUGCCGCGCCCGGCGUGAAAGCCCCCGGCUCAACCGGGGAGGGUCGUCGGGGACGGGCAGGCUUGAGGACGGCAGGGGCUGGUGGAAUUCCCGGUGUAGUGGUGAAAUGCGUAGAGAUCGGGAGGAACACCCGUGGCGAAGGCGGCCAGCUGGGCCGGACCUGACGCUGAGGCACGAAGGCGUGGGGAGCGAACGGGAUUAGAUACCCUUGUAG